UACGUAGGGGGCGAAGCGUUGUCCGGAUUAUUGGGCGUAAAGCGCUUUAAGGCGGUUCGCUAAGUCGGGUGUGAAACCUCCAGGCUCAACCUGGAGACGCCACUCGAUACUGGCGUGACUAGAGUUCGGUAGGGGACCACGGAAUUCCUGGUGUAGCGGUGAAAUGCGCAGAUAUCAGGAGGAACACCAGUGGCGAAGGCGGUGGUCUGGGCCGAUACUGACGCUGUAGAGCGAAAAGCGUGGGGGAGCGAAACAGG
rnacentral:rRNA from 1 species